CCUACGGGAGGCUGCAGUGGGGAAUAUUGGACAAUGGGCGAAAGCCUGAUCCAGCCAUGCCGCGUGUGUGAAGAAGGCCUUCGGGUUGUAAAGUACUUUCAGUGGGGAAGAAAGCCUUGGGGCUAAUACCCUCGAGGAAGGACAUCACCCACAGAAGAAGCACCGGCUAACUCCGUGCCAGCAGCCGCGGUAAUACGGAGGGUGCGAGCGUUAAUCGGAAUUACUGGGCGUAAAGCGCGCGUAGGCGGUCUGAUAAGCCGGUUGUGAAAGCCCCGGGCUCAACCUGGGAACGGCAUCCGGAACUGUCAGGCUAGAGUGCAGGAGAGGAAGGUAGAAUUCCCGGUGUAGCGGUGAAAUGCGUAGAGAUCGGGAGGAAUACCAGUGGCGAAGGCGGCCUUCUGGACUGACACUGACGCUGAGGUGCGAAAGCGUGGGUAGCAAACAGGAUUAGAUACCCUGGUAGUC
rnacentral:rRNA from 1 species